rnacentral:rRNA from 1 species
UCCCGUUGAUCCUGCGGGAGGCUGCUGCUAUCUGGGUUCGACUAAACCAUGCAAGUCUAGGGGGCCUUCGGGUCACCGGCAGAAUGCUCAGUAACACGUCGAUAAUCUGCCUUUAGGUUCAGGACAGCCUUGGGAAACUGAGGGUAAACCUGAAUAAGGAAUUGAUACUGGAAUGUGCUUUUCUUAAAAGCAAUGCCUAAAGAUGAGUCGGCGGUGGAUUAGGCUGUUGGUGGGGUAAAGGCCCACCAAACCAAAGAUCCAUAGGGGCCGUGAGAGCGGUAGCCCCGAGAAGGACACUGAGAUACUGGUCCUAGCCCUACGGGGUGCAGCAGGUGCGAAACCUUUACAAUGCACGAAAGUGUGAUAAGGGAACCCAGAGUGCUCAUGUUUUACAUGGGCUUUUUUUCAAGGGUAAAUACCUUGGAGAAUAAGUGGUGGGUAAGACUGGUGCCAGCCGCCGCGGUAACACCAGCGCCACAAGUAGCAGCCACAUUUAUUGGGCCUAAAGCGUCCGUAGCCAGUUUUGUAAAUGUUUUGUGAAAUUGUCAGGCUCAACUUGACAGCGUGCAAAACAGACUGCAAAACUCGAGACCGGGAGGAGUCAGAGGUAUGCCUGGGGGAGCGGUAAAAUGUUGUAAUCCCGGGUAGACCACCUGUGGCGAAGGCGUCUGACUAGAACGGUUCUGACGGUGAGGGACGAAAGCCAGGGGAGCGAAAUGGAUUAGAUACCCAUGUAGUCCUGGCUGUAAACGCUGCGAGUUAGGUGUUGCAUAAGCUUCUUGCUUAUGCAGUAUCGUAGGGAAGCCGUUAAACUCGCCGCCUGGGAAGUAUGGUCGCAAGACUGAAACUUAAAGGAAUUGGCGGGGGCGCGCCACCAGGAGUGGGGCGUGCGGUUUAAUCUAACUCAACACAGAGAAUCUCACUAGCAGCGACGGCAGAAUGAAGGUCAGUCUGAAGGGCUUACCUGACAAGCCGAGAGGUAUUGCAUGGCCAUCGUCAGCUCGUGCCGUAAGGUGUCCAGCUAAGUCUGGCAACGAGCGAGACCUGUACCUACAAUUGCUAACGACACAAUCUUGUGAAUCGAGCACAUUAGGGACUGCCUUCGAAAGGAGGAGGAAGGUGCAGGCUACGGUAGGUCUGUAUGGUCCGAAUCUGCUAGGCUACACGCGCGCAACAAUGGUAGGGACAAUGGGAUGCAACUUUGAAAGGAGAAGCUAAACCUCUAAACCCUAUCUUAGUCCGAAUCGAGGGUUGUAACUCACCCUCGUGUCGCCGGAAUUCCUAGUAAUCGGAGGUCAACAUCCUCCGGUGAAUAUGUCCCCGCGCCUUGCACACACCGCCCGUCACAUCAACCGAGCAGGGUCUAGGUGAGAUUCAAUUUUUUGAUUGUCUCGAACCUAGGCUCAGUGAGGUGGGUGAAGUCGUCACAAGGUA